CCUACGGGCGGCAGCAGUGGGGGAUAUUGCACAAUGGGGGGAACCCUGAUGCAGCGACGCCGCGUGGGUGAAGGAGUGCUUCGGCAUGUAAAGCCCUAUCGGCAGGGAAGAAGCAAGACGGUACCUGACUAAGAAGCCCCGGCUAAAUACGUGCCAGCAGCCGCGGUAAUACGUAGGGGGCGAGCGUUAUCCGGAUUCCCUGGGUGUAAAGGGAGCGUAGACGGCCAUGCAAGCCAGGGGUGAAAGCCCGGGGCCCAACCCCGGGACUGCCCUUGGAACUGUGCGGCUAGAGUGCGGGAGGGGCAGGCGGAAUUCCUGGUGUAGCGGUGAAAUGCGUAGAUAUCAGGAGGAACACCGGCGGCGAAGGCGGCCUGCUGGACCGCGACUGACGUUGAGGCUCGAAAGCGUGGGGAGCGAACAGGAUUAGAUACCCGUGUAGUC
rnacentral:rRNA from 1 species